UAGAGAUAGGAGGAAGGUAAGAAAAGUAGCAGAAAGGAAAGAAGAAAAGUGAUUUGAACGUUUAUUAUUGUAUGUAAUAUAUAGUCUCCUUGGAUGGACAUACGUAUGCAUAUUGAUGUUUUGAUGAUCGAACUUAGGAGGUUAUUAUUACUACGUCCAAAGACUGAGUAGCUUCUAUUACAUGGAGAAGCUAAGACACAUAGAUAUAAAGAAAAUUAAAUAUGCAUGCAUAUAUAUGCGUGUGUGUGGGUUUUGUUUAAUUUCUAAUUACUUUGCUAGGCACUGGAAGUUGGCGGGAGUGCUCGUUAUGUUACAGGCGUUGAGAAUUGAGAUAAGAACAGAAACGGAUACGGGGACUCCAAUUCCGUUAGUCCUUACUGCCCUGCAAAGGCAAGCGGUUGCGUAGUUAGGAGCAGUUUCCAAGACGCGGCAGCAUUCCCGCGUAUUAUUAGUCCGGUUUAUACCCCUCGCUGCACUCUCGCAAGCAUUUAACCUUGGGUCAGGUAUGGGACAAAAGNNNNNNNNNNNNNNNNNNNNNUGGUGGCGGAAAAGAGAAGGUUAAGGGAGAAGAGAAUGGCGGCGGGUGCCACCAUUGCCUUCCUGGAAC
rnacentral:lncRNA from 1 species